rnacentral:rRNA from 1 species
GACGAACGCUGGCGGCGUGCUUAACACAUGCAAGUCGAACGAUGAAGCCCAGCUUGCUGGGUGGAUUAGUGGCGAACGGGUGAGUAACACGUGAGUAACCUGCCCUGGACUCUGGGAUAACCCCGAGAAAUCGGAGCUAAUACCGGAUAGGACCUUUCCUCGCAUGAGGUUUGGUGGAAAGUUUUUUCGGUUUGGGAUGGACUCGCGGCCUAUCAGCUUGUUGGUGAGGUAAUGGCUCACCAAGGCGUCGACGGGUAGCCGGCCUGAGAGGGAGGCCGGCGACACUGGGACGUGGAAACGGCCAAGGUGCCCGCGAGUGGCAGCAGUGGGGAAUAGUGCACACUGGGCGCAAGCCGGAUGCCCAGACGCCGCGUGCGGGAUGACGGCCUUCGGGUUGUAAGCCGCUUUUAGGAGGGAAGAAGCCUUCGGGUGACGUUACCUGCAGAAAAAGGACCGGCUAACUACGUGCCAGCCGCCGCCGUAACAC